CACUUUAUUCAUUUUUAUGGAUGAUGAAUUUUUUUAAAUAAAGAACAGACCAAUGAUCCCUUUUAUUCAAUAUGUAAAUAAACUAUACAUGGGCAAUACACAAAAUCGUGGAAGCCCACAUAAAGAGGUCCCAAAAUGAGAAAGAACAAAUAAGAGAUAAAAGAACAAGAAAAAAUGUAAAGUUUUAUAAAAGAUUAAAAAGUAAAGGGAUCUUCAUCUUUAUAUUCAUCGGCUCAUCGAGAAAUUACUUGUUGUCUGAAGAAAUCUCGAUGAUAAGAGGACAUAAUCAAGCUACUCACACGUUAUUAGUAUUUCAUUCCAAUCUCAUUGAGUUAAGUAAUAUUGCUUAAUAAACACUCAAAUCUCUUAAGAAUGCCAAUAUAAUUUGAUAUGAUUGAAGACUUCAUCUCAUAAGCUACAAAUCUAGUACUAUAUAUAUGCUGAAAUAUCUAGCUUAUCUCCCUCAUCCUCUUGAGUACUCUACAAAUGUAAUCAAGCAUCCCUAUUAAUGUUGCUGACUCUUUUGCACCCUAAUUAUCGACAAAUAAUGCAUUUUCAUUCAUUUGAUGUCUAUUAGUCAAUUGAUGGUGCCCUUUUUUCCUUCAUAGAAUGAGACAUGGUAUAAUACCACAACCAAGAAUUUAGGAACAGGGUUAAUCAGCUAAGUAUCCCACUUCUGUUUGUACAAUCUCUGAGUCAUACAUGUUAUUUAUACUGUUUGUUGUAAGCUACCUUUUUCCUUAGUUUUAUGAACUUGCUAAAAUAUUAAAAGCCCCAUUUUGAUUCUUUAUGAUUCUGAGAUUUGGCAUUUGAAAUUUGUCCAUAUCUAGGAUAGAUAGCUUCAUUUGGUAACUCUUUAUUUGUUGUAUAUCUUAUUGAUUGAGUACCUGCAAAACACAAAAUUAGUUAAAAAGUUGGAAAGCAAGCUUUCUUCUCUAAAUGGACGCUUCACCUUCACCAAUGAAUUCUCCAUUAACUAUUUGGUCUUCCUUAUUUCCGUCGAAAUACACCUAAGAACCUCCCAUAUUCCAUCCAGUACUUUUUUCAAAACCAGUGAGUUAUUCUCUACAAUUGAAGAUAUGCAGUGAUUGUUUAGAUAGAAUUCUAAUCCAAUCCUUAACGAUGUUGCUUCAACUAUACUGAUAAGCCCAUCCUCAAACCUUCUUUCCUGUACAAAGAUAAACUUACCUUCCCAAUCUCUAACAAAAAAUGCACCAGAACAUUCUCCUAUAGUUCCUUUAUAUGAUCCAUCAGGGUUGUACUUUUAGAAACCCUCCUCAGGCACCAUCCACUUCAUUAUUAUUAUUCCAAGAAUUGAAUUAUUAGAGGCCAAGUGGAUGUCAUAUGUAGCAACAAGGGUAUUCAACUUUAACAAUUAAGAAAAUAUUGUUAUUAACCUCUAUGUCCAUUUUCCUGUAAAAGUGUUUGCCUCUAUGAAGAUUGAUAUUCC
rnacentral:lncRNA from 1 species